UCUAUAAAUUAAAUCAUUCAGUGUCUAAAUAAAUUCGUACUGAUUUUAAAAUAUCUUCUCCCUAAAUAUCUAAACCAUCCGUCCUUAUCCUCCCUCACUCACGUUCACUCUCUCCUUCUCUUUCAUUGUCACGUUUCUUUCUUUCUCUUGCAGCAGACCAUAAUCUUUCUUCUUAUUCUUCUUCUUCUCUAUUUCUAUAUAUAUAUAUAUAUAUAUAUAUAUAUCUGGUACCACUCUCUUGUCCACGCACGUUCUUAUCCUCUUCUUCCUUAUAAUACCAAUUAUUUAGUCUCCUAUCAUAUGCUAACUUGCGUCCUCUCUCUUCCAUUCAACUAAGACCAUUUUCUCUCAUCAUUUUCUUGCUUCCUGGACCGAGAGAGAGAAGCAACACCCAAGUGUUUUUAUUUUAUUUUAUAGCAUAUAAAGAAAUCAGCCACACAAAGCUUGUUCCCUUCCUAGUAAAUAUGAGAUUCAUUCCUCACCCAGUAAAACAACACAGUGCUCGAGCCUUUUCUUCACUCCCUAUGACCCACGGCUAGAGAACCCCCAUGGUUUCACCUUCAUCAUUGGUCACCAACGACAGCCACUCCUCACCAUCAUUAUCUUCUCUUUUCAUGGGUACGGACAACGGGAACACUUGGCGAGGAAGCCAAAGAACAAAAGGGAAGCGAGCCGACACGGGAAAGCAAGGAUGUGAUUGGAUUGAAGUUGCAGUUUAGGAAGGAAAUUGACUAAGGUAAGGGUAACUCAGUUUUAGCGUGUCUUUGAGUCUUGCCUGCUUUUAUCGCACUGCCUGUGUUUGAGAUGAAGAUGUUUAUAUUGAUUGACAUUGGAUUAUGAUUAUUAUGCUGAAUUGGGAAAAUGUUUUCUGGAGGCUUCGGCCAAGUGAACUUAUUGAGGCGUGUGUCUUCGUUUUCUGAGAGACUUCGGCCGUUUACUGGUUUCCGUCAUUACUGCUUUCUAGUGGAUAAGACAUGGUUAUUGUUGAUUGAUUUUGGCGAAUGGUCCCAGAAGGCUCGCCGGAGUUCAACCUUUUUGGGGAAGGGCGAGGAUCCUCCUCGCCAAGGGGCCGUUUCCCGCCCGCCUGGAUUCUCAACAUAGACGCCUUGUCGCCUUUCAAAUUUAUUCGAGGGGGAAAGGAGACGUUCUUUUUCUUCUCAAAGGCCGCCAGAAGCUCCUCAUCGACACAGUGAGUUUGCCCUAAAAAUAAAAAUAAAAAAAGAGAAGGAAAAUGUAAGCUGGUAGAAAAUAGAAAGAACGAGAGGGGUAGAAGAGGAAGAUUUACCAAUCACGCGAGAGCAGUCUGAAACGGCGAGACGGGCCAGAAAGUCGAUGACAGCCUUGUGUUCAGGAGUGAGGGAGUCCUCGGACGGGUCAAUUAUCUGGCGCGCGCCCUGAGUCCAGUAGAAAGGAAAUCGAGCGGUGCCAUCUCUGUGUGUGAAAACCUCAGGAUAUUCGUGGGACACCACAACCCUGAAGAAUUUCCUGGCUAAAUCGAUGGUGAUGCUAGGCCAGAUAGGGAUGAAGCGCUGGCGACCAGGCCUAGCUUCCAGGGAAACCCAGCUGCGUUGCGGGGAGGGCUGGACAGAUACGCGAUAGAAAUAAAAGAAGGUCAAAGGUUCAGGUUCCUGGUGAAUCGCGUCGCAGAGAAUUUCGAAACACCAGAGGAAGGCCCAACUGUUGGGAUGAAGUUGACUAGGAGUCACAUUGAUAUUGUGAAGAACGGAGCAGAUAAAAGGGGAAAAACGAAAUUUAAUCUUCAAAUUUGUGAACAUAUACCCAUACACGUAAAAAAAGUGAGGAGCACCCACGAAGUCGUCUUUGGGACGAAGCCAAGGGCGUUCAAGGGGUGAGCAGGCACUGACAUACAGAAGCUUGUCAAGAGGUUUCUCAUGACAAAAUCCGCCGGAUUCUGUGGAAAUCUCCCAAAUGGACGAUUCUUUUUUCAAGCUUGACCGUUGGUUAGGCAUUGUCCCGGCGGGCAAAGCCCUCACGGCGGGAGCACUUAAAGUUUUCCAAGUCUUCGUUCGGAAGGCAAUGCCGUCUUUUUCUUUAAGAGGAACGCCUUCGGGAGGGGGCGGGAGAACAGGAGAAACGCACCGGAGAGGGGUGGUGUUUACACCAAAAUUCUCAGGUUUAGAAAUUAAUUAUUGAGAUAUAGUGCACAUAGAUACAUGUUAUGUUUUAGUGUAGUUUCUAUCUUACUGCUAAAUUAUUGUCAAAUACAUACAUGUCGAAUGUUAUAGCUUGCUGGGUCGAAAUUCAUACUCAUUAUUGGUCAAAUUCUCAUGCCAAAUUGAUAAGCCAAUAAACCAAAGACAAUUUAAGUUUCAUGUUGCCUGUGAAGUUAAGAUAUGUUCGAUCAUUAAUCUUGGAAUUAUAUAGUGACUUUUUGUUUAUGUUUCCCAAGGUCGAAAUAGUGGCAUCAUGAUUCAAAGACAAUGUUAUAUAAUAUUCGACCUUUAAUAUAUAUUGUGAACUUAAGUCUGGGUGCUUGUAGUAUAUGGAGUAAUAUUUCGACAUUCUUUGUGUGGCACUAGACAAGUAUAUUUCGACCAAAGGCAAAGGAUUUCGAUAGCAAAAGAAGAAAUGCAACAGUGUUGGAAGCAAAAUGGAAGAAAGGAGAUCUAGCAAGGCAGAAGCAGAACUGAAGAUGGCGGUUACAAGAAAUCAAAGGCUCUGAUUAGGAAGUUAUAUUCUAUGUUUAAAUCUUAACCAUAGGAUUAUGUUAGCAGUUUUAUUUCAAACAUUAUAAAUAGUAGGUUGUAACUAAGAAUAAUUAGAUUUCACACAUUUAGGGCUCUUAGACUCUGAAAGCCAACAAGUCAAUCACACAGACAAAUGGCAAUUAGGAGAUCAUGAGCAUGAUUGUGGUGUAAUCUCAUCUACUUUGCAUUUCAAUUCAUACUGUUUCAUCU